GAUAUAAAAGUAAAAAAAAAAAAAUUGUAUUACACAAGUGAGUUGAUAUUUGAAAAAAAAAAAAAAUACUUGGAGUAUUUCCUGGAAAAUCAACUUGUCCAGUGUUCAUGUGCCCAGUAAGGAGUAUCUUAACUAGGAGGUGAACGUACCGGCAAUUAAAAAUGUUGAUAAGAGCAGUGGCGGCCGUAUGGGUCGCCGUACUCUUGUGCCAUCUCCCACAAACAAAAUCUCAGGUUCCAAACAACGUCUUCACAUGUCCAAAUGGAUGGGAAUUGAAAAGCA